rnacentral:lncRNA from 1 species
UUUUUUUUUUUUUUGUGGAGGGAAUAGAGGGGAUAAAUUACAGAGAAAUGCUAAGGAGAUUCUCCAAGUGGAACUCUCUGCCAUUUCUUUAAAUUACAAGAUGUUAUAUUCAAUCAUUUUGUUAGGAUUAGAAGUUUUUGUCAUGAACAAUUCAUUUUAAACUCUUAAAUUAGACAAAAUUUAUUCAUUUCUUUUUUCAAAAUAGCUUGAAUAUAUUGAAUUAUUCAACUCACUUCAAUCUUAGAUGUUAAACGAGCCCAAACUUCGAUUUCUUUGCAUGACAAACCAACAUUGGGAAAUAUUGAAGAGGAGUGAAAAAAAAAAACAUAUAUAUUUUGACAAACGAUAGUUUUAGUAGAUUAAAUUGUUGAAUGUUAUGGGUGAGAAGGAUUGAAGAGAAUCACAUCCACACCAAGAUGCAUAGGUAAUAUUACUUUUUGUCACUACGGUAAAAUAUAUAACUUGUCCCUAGAUGGUUUUUGCUAAAGAAUCUAGCAAAGAGAGGAAAUUGAAAUUAAAAAAUUUCUUGACCCCAUGUUGGUUUAGAGGUCGCUUAAAUCAGUCGACAAUUUUCUUUUUAUGUGUAUAACAAAAGUAUCCUUGACUCUUUUGGUUUUUGACCUACAUUUCAUUUCAUUUGAUUUGACUCUUUUGGUGCUUGACACUAAUUAUCCAUGAUUUAAUAAAAUAAUUUUAGAAAAGCCCAAAUAAUUAAUCAAUUUGGGAAGAAACAGAAGUGAAUAUUUGCUAGAAAAUCUUGUUGAAUAUACAUCCAAUAAUAUGUAUCUUAUUGAAUGAGAAUCCUAUUGUGAGGAUCUUGAAAAUUCGUGUAUAAUGUCUGUUCAUCGUACAUCGUGUAAUUAUAAAUUUUUUUAAAAUUUUUUAUUUAAAAUUAAAUACAAACGGUACCUGACAAAAAAUGACCGCACAAUGUACGACGAAUAUACACGAUUCACGAAUUCUCUUAAGAGAAUCCGCAUUCUAUCUUGUUGGGGCCCUGCUGAUGUGUGAUAAUGCCCAUUGGCCAACACAUUUUCUGGUUUCAAAAUAAUGUAAGAACAAAACAAAAAAAUCAAUAAUAUGUCACACAUAUACCAUCAGUUGUCCCCAUUUUUUAGAGACAAUAAUAUGUCACACAUAUUUGUACUGAACUUCCAAUAUUUCCACCCUUAGAUUAAUUUUAGUUCAAAGAUCAUCAUUUUCUGAAUGUCUAUUUUAACUCUACAAUUCUCACCCUUAUUUAUGUGAAAAGUCUCGAAAUUAUAAACAAAUGAUCGAAUAAUAAAUGAGAAGUUCUUGUGUUCACCUGUCGUAAAUGACUAGGUAUGACUAGUGUGAGGUUGGUUUGAGUUAAACAAAGAAGGUUGUUAUUUUGUACAUAAAAUCGUACAGGUGAGUUGGUAUGAAUAAUCAGACAUUAGAAUUUUUAAUUCCUAUAACCGAAUAAAGGGUUGAACAUAAAAAAAAAGGUUUGCCAACACAUAUUAAAUGGGAUCAUGUGAAGUUACAAUUCCCAUCUAUGAUGGAAAAUCAAAAGUGGUGAUCAAUGUGACAUAUCAAUGACUAUGAAAUGUGACUAUUUAGAAGGAUCCAAAUUUCAGAUGAGCACAUGCCAUUUUGGAAAGAGAUUCUUUCCGGAUCUCUUUCAUCAAGAUUAUCGGAUUAAGUGAUUUGAGAUUUUGAAAUUUCAUCCUGGCAAAAAAUUAUUAUAUUUUUUAAGAGAUCAAAACAGGUAGGUCGUUGAAUGAAAUUUCAAAAGCUUGAAUUACUUGAUCCAGUGACCUUAAUGAAAAAAAUCCAGAGAGCAUCUAUUUCCUGCCCCUUUCACUGCUUGUGGACCGACCUUAAUUUAUCCUCCACAAUUUUUGUACGAAAACAGUCUAUGAUCAAUUGGGUUUUUGGCCUUUUUCCCAUCCUUGUUUUAUAGGGUCCAAUGCCUUCAAUUUCCACCUCAAAAAUUUCCUUGUGCUUGUUGAAUAUAAUUGGGGUGACGAGGCCUAAUAAAAGGGUUGUGUUUGUCAUAUUCAUGUCAUCUUUGUGUUUUUUUUAAUAGGUCGUGUUGUAUUAAAUUCGUUAUUUUAACAGGUUCUUAACAGAUGAUCUAAUAACGAUAUCUUAUCGAGUCCUUAACAGAGACUCGAUAAUGAUAAAAAACGUUAACGGGUUACCCAAUAACGACCGGACUCGUUAACAUGUUGAUCUGAAACCCGUUGUUUUUGUACGUGUCGAAUUAAAAGGUCUUUUAAGAAAUUGUCAAGCAUGUAUAUCCUACUACUUUUUACCACUUUUGCUAGGUGAGAAUAAGAUUUAUGCCAUUAACUUUCAUUAUUUUCUUACGAAAUGGAAUUGAUUAUUUUAAUUCAUGGUUUAUCUUCUGUUAGAAAAAUGGAUACGCUACUCUACCAGAAAAUCACUUAAAAUUCUAAUUAAAUACCCUUAGAAUCAUUUGAAUUAAGAUCCUUCAAAAUCUCGUACACCCCUGCAUAUACGAUAUAUGCUAGGUCAAUGUUUGAGUUCCAACAACAUGCUCUGAGCGCUGAAGUAGUUUAGCCCCCACGAGCGACAAUGGAGACUCAAGCCAACCACUAAGCGAGAAAUUCAAAAGUUUUACCCACUGAACGAAAUGGGGGAGUAACUCAACUCCACUUGCAAAGUUUUUGAACAUUGCAAAGGGUCCCGCAACAUGUUCUUGGCACUAAAGAGUAGGUUUAGCUUCAACGAGCAAGUUAUGGAGACUCAAAGCCAACAAAUUGAGCGAGACUCAGAAGUCUUACCCAUUGAUAAGCUCUUGUAAAGCUUCAUAUCUUUCCGAUAUGAACAAUUGUUCGGUACAUAUCCUCACAUGGUUCCCUACAACAUAUGAAAAUGUCAAACAAUGCAUAGUUGCUAGUUUAGCCAUAGCAAUAGCCGCCCCACGCUGGUAUUUUGUAUAGAUAUACGCCACCGACAUUACACACACACACACACAUCAUAAAUCAAACACUCUGAAGGCUCUCCUUAUGUCCAAAAUGAAAGUCAAACCUCCCCCUCUCUUGGAUUUUGUCUUUCUGGAGAAGAAUGGUAACAAAACCGCCCAUAUCUUUGGCCUUUUUGACCAAAAUCAAAGAGUAGCGAGGAAGAAUUGUAUCCUUUUGAUUAAGAGUUUGUUUGAAAAUAUUUUUAAAAUGACUAAAAUCACUUUUAGUGAAAAUGCUUUUGAGUUCUAAAAGCAUUUGAAGCACCAAUUAUGUGCUUCUUGCAGGAAACACUUCAAGUGCUUUUUUAGAAUUCACUUGCAUUUUUACUAAUGAUAGAUCCUAAAAACAUUUUUAUCAAAAGUGCUUUUCGGCAUUUUAAAAGCACUUCUAAACAAGCCCUAAUUUUUACGUCUCUGCCCCCACUAAUUUAAUUUGGCUUGCUAAUGAUAGUGAAAGAAAUGAUUGGAUGUUGGGGAUUUUUAGCAUCAAAUUUGUAUUGGCUAUUUCUAACUGCAGUUGUGGCUCAAGGAAGAUCUUGUAUUCUAAAUGUGGUUGAUUAACCCUUUUCAAGAUCAUGUAUUAGGGCUCGUUUGGUGCCUAGGACCAGGGUUUAGGGUUUAGUUUGGAUUUGAUAACUCCUAUAAUUCAAGGUAUGUAUGAAAGCUAGAGGUAAAUAAUUUUUUAUUUUGAGGUUGAAUUGGAUAACUCAUAUAAUAUAAAAUACGAGUGAGGUAAAGGUGAAUGUUUCAUUUUGAAGGGAUUAGGUAUUAGGCAUGAAUAAAACUUGUCCCUUCUAAUUCAUAAUUUUUUUGUCAAGGUCUCCAAAUCCAUGACUAUAGAUCAAACUUCUAAUAGAGUCAUAAGUUUGCUAAAGAGUACUCCAUCUUUUACCUUCAAUCUUACGUACCGAACUAGCACUUAGGUCUUUGUGGCCAGAUUAUGAAUGCAAUUUCCAUUUGAUCCCCAACAAUUUAUCCAUUUUGUUUUUUUUUUCCUUUAAUUUCUUUUGUGGGGGGUUUCAGGGGACCAUGGACUUGUUUUUGGGCACCUGAAGGGACACACAUCACAGAACUCAUUGCAAGUUUCAAACAAAUCCCUCUAGCCUUUGCAUGUGUGGAAAUCUCUGUAACUUGAUACGACUAGUACUUCUCCUCAACCAGGUUAAAGUUGCAUGUGCUUUUGUAUUUAUUUCUCUCGUUACAAAAUUUGAUUCAUUUCGUCGUGAGAAAGAUAUACACAAGAAGAUAUAUGUGGGUUUAAUAAAUAACUAGAAGUUCUUUGUGAAUGAUGUUUUUCCUUUGUUGUAUCGAUAUUUGUAUUGGUUAUGUUUGUAGUGCAGUGAUAACAUGUUGAAAUGUUGUGCUAUGGAAAUGUUGUCUUCCGAUAUGUUAUAAAUUGAUUAUUAACAUUAUGUCAACAGUUAAUAAUCAAGGAUAAAUUAACCAUAAAAUUAUCAUUAUAUAUGAUAAUCAGGAGAUAUUCUUGUUAUCUUAGAUUGUACAACCAUUUAUGUCUAUCUCGUCCAAAACUUAAUCAUGUGAUGUGAAAUUAGACACAAAAAAAAUAUACAAGUUGUAAGACAUGUUUUCUUAAAACUAGUCCUUGAUUUGGGUUUCAACAAUUUUCAACAUCCAAACUAAGAAAAUGGAAAAAAAAACCCCAAAACAAACACAAAAGGGCCAGAAAAGACCUUUCCAUACCUAACAUAUUAUCUGGCUCCCAAGUCAUCAAUCCUGACAACCAUAGCAAUUUGCAAGUCCUGCUGUCUGAUAUGGACCCGGCUUCUCUGCCCUCCCAUUUUUCAUACACUUCUAUCAUUUUUUAUUUUGUGCAGUUACGGUUAAACCACGUCAGCAUUUUAUAUUAAUUUUUUUAAUAGAGAUAAUAAGACAAAAAACAAUAGUAAUAUAAAAUGUUUACCUGACUUAAUCGUGAUCGCACAAAUAAGAGGAGAUGAGAAUGUAUGGGAAGUAAGACGGCAAAGAAGCCAGGUCCAUCUGAUAUAUACACCAGCUCAGCAAAUAUUGCGUGUCAAAUUGUCAAUUGUCUGAAGCUCCUGCCACAAAUCAUGAUAUGGAAAACCUUGACAGGUAACCAAGAAAAAGUUUGGAAUGUGUUCCCCGUCACUCAACAUUUCUAUCCAAUCAUGCGUUGUUAUAUGUAAGUUUAACUAUACAUAUUAUUGUAUUAUUGGAUCAAAACAUUACAAUGACAAUCAUUUUGUUAUUUAUAAGUUGCUGUCGCUAACCAAAAAUUGCUACAUCAAAAGUAUUGAGUCCCAAAUUUUGAUUACAAAACUGAGCAGUCAUUUCAACUGUUCGGCUCUAUAGACGUUGUACAGAGAGAAUAUCCCGAUAUUUGAAUGCAUUUUUCACUUUGUUUUUAUUUUAAGCAGUAGUUUUAUGGACUCAAAAGGAUGGGAAGAACUUAUCCAAUCUGCAUGGCAGUUUAUAGAACUCAUUAUUCCUAACAUCUGAACCUCAUAAAACGAACUUCCCCCACCAAUUUAAGCCGCUUUCUUUUCGAGAUGCAUCAUUGUCGCACGACAGUGAACAGUCCAAGAUAGGGCAACUAGAGCAGCUACCGUUGUGUGCAACAUGAAGACCACAUUCACCAUGUCCUCUAACUGAAAGUAAAUGAACCGAAAAAAAAAUAAGGCGGAAGCUAGUUAGCAUUUGGAUUUGAUUUGCAAACGGAAUCAAGUACAGUGACUGAAUCGACAAAAAUAGAACCGCGGUUACUAAAAUUGAAAGCGAGGAACAGCACAGUGAUCGAAAAUGUAUUUUCUCACCCGUCUAGGACCGCUUUGAGCAUGGUCGGACCUAGGAUAAUAUGGUAUUUUCUCAUUCUCUUCCACGAUCCAGAUAUCCUCCCCUUCGCCCAAGAAAAGAUUGAUUGAAUUAUCAAAAAUUUGGAGCGUGAAGUUCAGUUAGAUCCAUUUAUGCGGGAGGGUAUACACAGAUUAAUAUAUUCUCGGAAGUAUUGUGGUACUGAAGUUCCCAUGAAGAAAGAGAAGUCCUAAUACGAAUUUUGUUCUGAAACACAUUGGAAAACAGAUGUUUAAGGAAACAAGAAACUUAUCAACACAGCCGAAUAAGACACAGUAAAGAGCCACGAUGAUCGGUGUAGGAAUAAGCGAAAAGUGCUUCGAUUUUUCCUGGUUCAGAAGAGCAUCAUCUAAAAUGAGAAACAUCUAGCAUACGAGAGGAACUCCCCUACAACAUGUUGUAUGAAACAUUGUCUCUGUCUCUCUCAUCGUAUGACAAUCACCAUGAUUACUACCAUUACCACCACGGCCACCACCAUUACUGUUGUUAUUGUUACCACAGCAGCCACUACCACCACCAUUAUUGUUAUUGUUGUUGCCAUCGCCACCAACCACCAUUAUUAUUGUUGGUGUUGCCAUACAACGGCCACCACCAUUAUUGUUGUUUACACCACCACUGUUUCUAUUAUUAUUACCACCGCCCCCACCAUUGUCAUUGUCAUUGUUGCCGCCACCGUUUUGGGCCAUUUGUUUUGCUAGUUUUUUGUAGUUGUGGUUAUAAAAUGAUAGCAAUUGAAUGCCAAUCCUUGGGUUUUAUUUGUAAAGUUUCUAUUCCUUGGUAAUCGAAGCCCAAAGAUCUAUGAACUAACCCAUGUUUAACUAACCAAGCAAACAAACGACUCUGCAUCUUUUUUCUCUCCCACAUUUUGAUUUGUAUUUUAUUUAUAUAAGUAUUUCACAUUUACGAUGAAUUUAUGGAAAUUGACUCGCUUUUUGCUUUGUUAUUAUGUACAAAAGAAUCCUGCCUAAUUCACUAAUUCAGGGGAAGCUACUGAACUUUUAUAUUUGAAAAAUAUUUCAUGUGGGAUCUCUGAAGUAAACGGUGGUUGAUAGAGUAAUCCUUGAUCAUAAUGUCCAGUAUGACACGAAACUUAUGGCUAGUUGUAAAAAGGGGGGGGGGGGGUUACAAAGAAGGUGGAAAGUCAAAGAGAGGUUAGAGUGCUAGGAAGAGAGCUAGGUGGCACACCUUUUUAUUUUAGGAACUUUAACGAAAAGCUCCCGGUACUGUUCAUUUUAUCGAAAAACCAUAUUUUUACACAAUCUUGGUACUAUUCAUUUUACCCUUUAUUUUGUCUUUAUCGUUAAAACUCAAAGCUUUCAAGCCAUUUUCAUUAGUUUUCCUUUGUAUUUUUGGGGGGUAAUUAGUAUUUGGUUAAACAAAGUUUCAAGUUUUAGAUUUUGUUCAUAGUGUUAACUACAUUGGAGAAGUAACAGAGAUGAACAAUUAUAAAAUUAAGAAAUGAAGUUUCACAGAGAGAAGAGAAAUGUGAGAAAGAAAUGAAUGAAGCUUUUGUAUUAAACUCAAAGAACUAAUUUUACUAUCUGUUUACUGUAGCGAUUUGUAUAGAUUAAUUAGCCGUAUUUAGGGUUCUAUUUGUUUCCCUGUAUAGUUUACUUACCUGUAUAGUUUACUUACUUGUAUAGUGCUCUUUGUAAACCCUAUUUAUACUCUACUCUCAGAGAGAAUAAUAUACAUGAUUUUACCCAUAUACUGUUUGACUUGGCAUCAGAGAAGUAAGGUUCUGGUACCCGUGAACCCUAAUCUGCGAAAAUCUAAAUCUUGCCGUUGCUGUAGAAAUUUUUCUGUGAAAAUUUUCUGCGUUCGUGUCUUGCUGUGUUGAUUGUUUCCGCUGUUAUUUGGUGUGUGUAUUCUACAACCAUGGCUGGUGAUGAUGAUGUUAAACCCAACUCCGGUUCGUCUAGUACCAAGGAUGAACAACCCUACCGUGAUUAUUCUGCUCCUAUUGCACAAGAGAAAUUAGAUGGCUCCAACUAUGUCUCCUGGUCUCGUAACGCCCUUCUUACGAUCACUGGACGACGUAUGGCGGGGUUUAUCAAUGGCAAAAAACCUGCUCCUAAGGAUGGUGAUUCUGUGGAAUACUCCGAAUGGGAAGAGGAUAAUUGUUUAGUACAAAUAUGGCUUCUCAACUCUAUGACUCGGAGUGUGAGAAGUCUCUUUGAGCGUUGUACUUCAGCAUAUGAUGUGUGGGAGGCUGCAAGGAAGACUUUUACAGUCACCCAAAACAGCUCCCGGUUGUUUCAACUUCGAAGACAGUCCGUGACUACAACCCAAGAUGGUGAAUCUGUUGCUAUGUUUUAUGAGAAGCUUCAUGUUAUCUGGGAGGAGAUUGACAAUCUUCGUCCUAAUCCACAUACCAACCCUAAGGAUGUGGCUCUCCGACAGAAGGAAAUCGAAUCUGAGAGGGUGUAUGAUUUUCUUGGAGGGCUUGAUCCACAGUUUGAUGGUGUUCGUAGCCGUAUCUUGGCUAUGACUCCGGUGCCUUCUGUCUUGGAGGCGUAUGCAUUAGUCGUGGAAGAAAGCACCCGUCAAGUCACUAUGCUUGGGGGUGCUGCUGCUUUGAAGAUUGGUACAAGCCAGCAUCGGACCAAUGGUGCUUCCUCAACUGGCGGUGGUGGUCGUCAGUCGUCCCUUGUGAAUACACGUUCCGGAGGCUCUUCGAACUCCAAGUCUGCCGUCUCCCGCCCUCCUGCAGCAAAGGCUCAACCUGGUUCUCGUGAAUGUGCCCAUUGUGGAGGUAAUCAUCUUGUAGAAAAAUGUUUCGAGCUUCAUGGUGUUCCAGAUUGGUUUCCUGAGUACAAAGCCCGUAAGUUUGGCUCCAAAGAUGCUCAUGUCGUGACUGCAGGCGAAAUUGAGUCGCCUCGUCCUUCCAUGAAUUUGAGUGUGACAAAUUCCGUACCAGGUAACGUUUCCAAUACAUGGAUAAUUGACACUGGUGCUACUGAUCAUGUGACUUAUAAUUCUAAGUUUUUUGAUGAGUUGUCUAGCCAAACUCGUGACCCUUUUAUCACGUCUGCCAAUGGUAUGCCGUCUCCAAUUACUGGAGAAGGCACAAUCACACUUACGCCUACCUUGUCCCUGACACAUGCGUUAUUGGUACCCAAUAUUAAUUGUAAUUUAUUAUCUGUGGGACGAUUACUGAACUCACUAAAUGCCUAUGCUACUUUCUAUCCUACAUGGUGUAUGUUUCAGGAUCUCAAAACUCACGAGACGAUUGGACGUGGUAAAAGGAUAGAGGGGUUAUACUACUUGACUCUACCAACAGAUGUGGUUCGUGGUAGUAUUGCUAAUAAAGUUCAGAGUGGCAGUGACAAGGACAAGCAUGAGUUGUGGUUAUGGCAUCGUCGCUUGGGACACCCUUCUUUUGGAUAUCUUAAACAUGUAUUUCCUUCCCUAUGUCGUUCAUAUGAUGAGACUUGUUUUAAGUGUGAAACAUGUGUAUUGGCCAAAAGCCAUCGUACUGUUUUUCCCUUAAGUAAUAAUAAAGCUCUUCAGCCAUUUGCGUUGGUACAUUCCGAUGUAUGGGGUCCUGCUAAGAUUACUUCCAAUGGAUUUCGUUGGUUUAUCACUUUUAUUGAUGAUUGCACACGCUUAACUUGGGUUUUCUUAAUGAAGCAUAAAAGUGAUGUGACAUCUAUUGUACAAGAAUUUACUGCCAUGGUAUCUACUCAGUUCCAGACUAAAGUCAAAGUGCUUCGGUCUGAUAAUGGAGGAGAAUAUGUGAACACUGCCUUGAGUUGUUUCUUUCGUGAACAAGGUAUUAUUCAUCAGACGACUACUCCGUUUACACCCCAACAAAAUGGUGUGUCUGAGCGGAAGAAUCGUCAUUUACUUGAAGUUGCUCGUGCUUUGCUCUUGGGAAUGUCGGUCCCUAAUUAUCUUUGGGGACAUGCAGUUUUAGCCGCAUGUUAUUUGAUCAAUCGGACUCCUAGCCGGGUUCAUGAUUUCCGCACACCGUUUGCAAUUUUACAAGAACAUAUCUCACCUAUUGCUGUCUCCAAGCUCCCUCCCAAGGUGUUUGGAUGUGUUGUGUAUGUGCAUAUUUAUUCUCAUCAACGGAGUAAGCUAGAUUCUUGUGCUCUUCGAUGUGUGUUCAUUGGGUAUUCAAAUACUCAAAAAGGUUACAAGUGUUAUCAUCCUCCUACUCAAAAGACUUAUGUCUCCAUGGAUGUCACUUUCCAUGAAGAGGUCCCGUAUUUUGCCUCAUCGUCUCUUAUCCCUCCACUUCCCGAGGAGAGAGUUUGCAAAGUGUUUAGUGAAGGAGCAACAGAGAGUGCAGGAAAUAGUGAUAUUGUGAGGUUGCUUGAUCCACCGUGUCACCCUUCAUCCACUGAGCAGUUGCCGUGUACUCACCCUGAGCAGUUGCCGUGUACUCACCCUUCACUCAAUGCAAAGUUGCCGUGUACUAGUGAAGGAGUAACAUACUUUGACAGUGACGUGGUGGAUGAAAAUAUUGAUGAAGAUGUACCGAAUAGUAGUAUUCCAAACCCCUCUGCCCUACCAUUGUCUCAAUCGACUUGUGAAGAUGAAAGUGAUGCCACAGAGGUAUUGUCUACUAAUGUGCCUAUAUCUACUUAUCAGUUGCCCCCACGAGUUAAUCGUGGUAAACCUAAAAUCCAAUAUUCUCCUGAUAUACACACAAAGUCCAAAUAUCCCAUUAGUAAUCAUUUGUCAACUCAUCGCCUUUCUAAGUCACAUGAGUCGUAUAUAUGUCAAUUAUCUACUGUAUGUGUACCAACUAAGUUGCAGGAUGCUUUAUCUGAUCCUAAAUGGGUGGAGGCUAUGGACAUUGAGAUGCAGGCUUUGAAUAAGAAUUCCACAUGGGAUUUGGUGCCUUUACCAAGUGGAAAGAAGAUGGUUGGUUGUCGAUGGGUGUUUACUUUGAAGCAUAAAGCAGAUGGUUCAAUUGAUCGCUACAAAGCCCGAUUAGUAGCGAAGGGUUAUACACAAACAUAUGGAGUGGACUACCAAGAGACUUUUGCUCCCGUUGCUAAGCUUAAUACGGUUCGUGUCCUUAUAUCUCUUGCUGCUAAUUUAGAUUGGCCCUUGUUGCAAUUUGAUGUUAAAAAUGCUUUCUUGCAUGUGGUGAUCUUAAAGAAGAAGUGUAUAUGGAUUUACCACCUGGUACGUCCAUUGCUUCCCAUAAGGGUGUUGUGUGCAAGUUACGCAAAGCUUUAUAUGGCUUAAAACAAUCUCCUAGAGCAUGGUUUGGGAGGUUUACUGCAUCCAUGAGAAAGUUUGGUUACAUACAAAGUCACUCGGAUCAUACCUUAUUCUUUAAACGGAGAAAGGGUAAAGUGACGACAUUGAUCAUAUAUGUUGAUGAUAUGAUAGUGACAGGUGAUGAUCAUGAAGAGAUUAGCUCUUUACAACAAUAUCUUGCUUCUGAAUUUGAAAUGAAAGAGUUGGGUGAAUUGAAGUAUUUUCUUGGGAUUGAAGUUGCUCGAUCCAAGCAUGGUAUAUAUCUUUCCCAAAGGAAGUAUGUUUUGGACUUGUUGGCUGAAACUGGUAUGGUAGACUGUAAGCCUAUUAGCACUCCUAUGGAACAAAAUCAUCAAUUGGGGUCAUAUCCUGAUCAGGUUCCUACUAAUAAGGAGCGUUAUCAGCGACUGGUGGGAAGAUUAAUUUAUUUGUCUCAUACGCGUCCAGAUAUAGCCUAUCCUGUAAGCGUUGUGAGUCAGUUUAUGCAUCUGCCUAGUGAGGCUCAUAUGGAUGCUGUUGUACGUAUUCUCAGGUAUCUUAAAUCCGCUCCUGGUAGGGGUUUACCAUUUUCCAAGAAUGGUAAUUUGAAUAUUGAAGGCUACACAGAUGCGGAUUGGGCUGGUUCAGUUACAGACCGACGCUCUACGUCUGGCUACUUUACUUUUGUUGGUGGCAAUCUCGUCACCUGGAAAAGUAAGAAACAGAAGGUUGUUGCUCGGUCGAGUGCGGAGGCUGAAUUUCGUGGAAUGGCGCAUGGGGUAUGUGAGUUACUUUGGUUGCAAAAGUUAUUGAAUGGCCUUGGUUUCAAGUCCGAGAAAGCCUUGGUGUUACACUGUGACAAUAAAUCUGCGAUUGAAAUUGCUCACAAUCCUGUACAACAUGACCGUACAAAACAUGUGGAGAUUGAUCGGCAUUUUAUUAAGGAAAAGUUGGAUGCUGGAGUUAUUGCUUUUCCUUUCGUACCAUCUGAGCAACAGUUAGCUGACGUCCUUACUAAGGCUGUCUCUGUUAGUGUUUUCUCCAAUUCGCUUGACAAGUUGGGCAUGCGAGAUAUCUUCGCGCCCACUUGAGGGGGAGUGUAGCGAUUUGUAUAGAUUAAUUAGCCGUAUUUAGGGUUCUAUUUGUUUCCCUGUAUAGUUUACUUACCUGUAUAGUUUACUUACUUGUAUAGUACUCUUUGUAAACCCUAUUUAUACUCUACUCUCAGAGAGAAUAAUAUACAUGAUUUUACCCAUAUACUGUUUGACUUUUACAAUAUCUAUAUAUAGCUGACUAGAGAACUAAUUAACUCUUCCAACUAACUAUUACAUCCUCCAAUCCUUUACAACUAUUUUGAUGAGCUGGCAUAGAUGAGUUUGCAGUGAUAUAUUCAACAUCCCCUCUCAAUCUCAACUAGGUUUCCCAGUUUGAGAUUGAAUGAAUGAAGCUUUUGUAUUAAACUUAAAGAACUGAUUUUACUAUCUGUUUACAAUAUCUAUAUAUAGCUGACUAGAGAACUAAUUAACUCUUCCAAUUAACUAUUACAUCAUCCAAUCCUUUACAACUAUUUUGAUGAGCUGGCAUAGAUGAGUUUGCAGUGAUAUAUUCAACACAUAGGACAUGGUUUUUAAACUUGAUGAUUUCAAAACUGAAAAACGAUUUUGUUUAAUGUAAAUUUUUAAUUGAAUAGCUUGAGAGGUAAUUUCAUUAUGAUUCUAACAAUAAGAUUUAGGGCUGGUUUGGUAUUGCUGUACUUUGAAGAAAAAAAACUAUUUUUGCUAUGCUGUGAGAAUAAACUCAUUUUUACUGUUUCACGUUUUCAGUUUUUUUUUCACCCAAAACUGUGAAGCUAAGUUGUUUUUAAAUGUUUACCAAACACCUUUUUAAGCUCAGCUUUUUUAUAUACCCAUUUUUUAUAAAAGCACCUCAGUACCAAACCAGUACUUAUUUUCAUUGAAUAUUAAAUCGAAAAUGAUUUCCGCUCACAAUUGUUCUACUUUAAUCGGUGUGCGGAAAUCACUUCCAUGCUAAUUAUGGACCUUAAUUUCCUGAAGAACCGAAAACAAUUCCUGCAUUAUAGAGAGCUUAAGAGACAUGGAGAUUCUAAUGAAAGUCAUAAAAUAUACACAUUUCGACAACAGAGCAUCACCAUCUUUUUAUACAUGAAAUUCAAAUGCCGAAAUCACGAUCAGUUCCACACGAAAUCACGAUCAACAGUCAAGUAAAAGUACCCGAAUUAUGAUUAGGUCAAUCAUCAAACCGAAAUACGCAUGUUCUCCGGUGAUUUACAAGUUAUCAACUAAACCACUGCAUCAGCGUGACAAGUUCGGUUCACAUCUGCUUCGCCACCUCUGUAUUGGAUAAUUCGUGCUCGUCUCCCCAGCCAACUUCCGUGAACUUGCAUUCAAAGAUGUUCCACUCGGACCUGCAGAGCAAUCAUGAGAAAGAAAAUUUAUUGAUGCCAACGACGGUAUCCCUUGAGAUACUCAUGGUUUACCAUAUUUUCCCUCUUCACUAACGCCGUUAUCCUCAACCGAAACAGAAAUGUUUGUACCCUUAUUCUCAAAGCUGCACGUUUAACAAAACAAUGUUGCCUUCGGGUAAAGCAUGUUCAUAAAGAGGCAAUGGUAUGCAUGAAAUCUUGACCGUAAAACUCGUCAUGGAAAUGAUCAAUUGAAGAGCUAUACUACCUUCGACAGCUUAUAGCUUCUAUCUGUCAGAGGGGCUGGUUGCCAAUAAUUUCAACCUUUUGAGUUCGUCAAUUCCUCUAAACAUCGAUUGUGGCUGGCAUCCAGUUCAACUCAUAUUUAUGACUUCCAGUCCCCUACCUCCUAGACCUCGUAACAAAGCUAUUAACCGUGUCCUGCAGCGCCUAUACUCUCCUUCUGGUAAGCUACAAGUUUACCUGCUGAACCUGAUAUUACCCUUCGUUUUCUUCUCAACUCAAUCUUUUGUAAUGACAUUUACAAUUCUCCUACUAAACUGCUAACUUUUGAUCAACGUUAUCUAUCUAAUAUUUCGCUCAGACUAUCGAUCCCUACAGUUCCCAAUCUUAACCCAUCAACACGAAAACUACCUUUCCCACAACAUUGUUACUUAGAAAUGCUCUAAUUCAUGCUACAUUAUGAUUCAUGCUAACUAUUAAAACCUACUUUAACUUCCUAAGUUUGUAAAUUCCUCUAAAUAUCGAUCACGGCUGGCAUCCAGUUCAACUCAGAUUUAUGACUUCAAGUCCCCUACCUCCUAGACCUCAUAAAAAUUUCUUCAUUCACAGGUUACAACUAUCCUAAUCUGUCGAAAAUAUUUUGACAAAAACAUAUAUCACCAACUUAAACACAUACUCCUCCAUCCUCUCCAAAGUCCCUUCCAUCCAGCAUUUUGCUUUAACAAUUCCAAUGUUUACUUAACCCUUUACCUUAUCCAAUAUAUCCAAAGGGCAACCCCAAGCGAACAAGGCUCCCCUGCUUUGCGAGGGUUGGAGGUACGCAUCCUUACCCUUACUUUGCAAAGAUGUUGUUUCAACGAUUCGAACCCGUGACCUUUCAGUCACAAAGGAGCAACCAUUUUGUUGAAAGGAAACUUUAAUCAACAACAACAACAACAACAAAGCCUUUUCCCACUAAGUGGGGUCGGCUAUAUGAAUCCUAGAACGCCAUUGCGCUCGGUUUUGUGUCAUGCCCUCCGUUAGAUCCAAGUACUCUAAGUCUUUUCUUAGAGUCUCUUCCAAAGUUUUCCUAGGUCUUCCUCUACCCCUUCGGCCCUGAACCUCUGUCCCGUAGUCACAUCUUCGAACCGGAGCGUCAGUCGGCCUUCUUUGCACAUGUCCAAAUCACCAGAGCCGAUUUUCUCUCAUCUUUCCUACAAUUUCGGCUACUCCUACUUUACCUCGGAUAUCCUCAUUCCCAAUCUUAUCCUUUCUCGUGUGCCCACACAUCCCACGAAGCAUCCUCAUCUCCGCUACACCCAUUUUGUGUACGUGUUGAUGCUUCCCACCCAACAUUCUCUGCCAUACAACAUCGCUGGCCUUAUUGCCGUCCUAUAAAAAUUUUUCCUUGAGCUUCAGUGGCCUACGACGGUCACACAACACGCCGGAUGCACUCUUUCCAUCCAGCUCGUAUUCUAUGGUUGAGAUCUCCAUCUAAUUCUCCGUUCUCUUGCAAGAUAGAUCCUAGGUAACGAAAACGGUCGCUUUUUGUGAUCUUCGCUAGAUUGCUCCGGUCAUUAGUGUGGAUAAGUAUAUAAAUGGAUAGAGAUAGGAAAGCAAACACAAGAUGUACGUGGUUCACCCAGAUUGGCUACGUCCACGGAAUAGAAGAGUUCUCAUUAAUUGUGAAGGGUUUACACAAGUACAUAGGUUCAAGCUCUCCUUUAGUGAGUACGAGUGAAUGAUUUAGUACAAAUGACAUUAGGAAAUAUUGUGGGAGAAUGAUCUCGUAAUCACGAAACUUCUAAGUAUCGGAGUGUGUGUGUCGUCUUGACUUGCCUUAUCUGUCUCAUAGGUAGAUGUGGCAUCUUCUCUGGAAGUACUCUUCCUCCAUCCAGGGGUGGUAUCUUUAACUGGUGGAGAUGCACAAGGUAAUGUAUCAAUUUCACUUGAAGCUUACUUGUAGUUUCAGGCUUGGUCAAGCGCGAUACAAACCAUGUAGUAGGAGUCCCCCAAGUCGCCGAGCUAGGGGGUCUGCUGAAAGAGGUGACAGACAAGGUAAGCAAUCAGAGCUCCGACUGAUUGUUCACCUUCUCCCCAUCUUGCAGCAGCAUGAAGGAUAAAGAGAAGAAAAAUGAGAAGAGAUGAUAUGAGAUACUUUUGCUUUUGAAGAAGUAACUUUCCACAGGCUUAUUCUUGAACUGAGCUGGAGGGUUUUCUGGUUUCCUCCAGAGUAUAAGGCCGACUGAAGAAUUUGAGUCCUAAAAAACAAGUCCAUCAAAUCUAGAGUACGUUCCACCCUGCUGAUAUGGGAUACUUUUGCUUUUGACAGAGUAAUGGAUGUAUCGGCACGUGUGCUGUUACGCUUGUCUCCACAUGCUUCCUUGUAUCCUUCGCACUUGCCCUAUCUGUUCCUCAAGCAGAUGCGGAAUCUUCCCUGGAAACAUAAGAUGAUGAAGAUGAGUACUCGAGAGCAAUGCCAGGUAAGUAAUCAGGUAAGGGGUUCCAGGCAGUCAGUUCCUGGCUGGAAGCUUGAUUCCAAGUGCUGACUGAUUGCUCUCUUUCUCCUUGUCUUGCAGGUAAAAACAAGGCCAAAAGAAAAAAACAGGGAAAAAGCAUGAUAUGGGAUACUCUUGCUUUUAACCCUGAUGAUAUGAGAUAUUCUUGCUCUAGUAUAGCUUGUUUGCAGAGGUAUUAUCGGGGGGAAAGAAAGCUGAAUAUUUCGAAAGGCUUUGUUGGGAGUGCCCUCUCAGAUAUGAUGAAGGGUUGAGCAUUUUUGCAGGUCUGCCUGUCCGUUGGGGAUGGAGGUCGUCGACAUAUAUAGGAGUCUCCCUAACAACAAGUAGUAAUGCUAUUCCUUUACCCUGCUUGGUCAUAGCACGGUAGUGGGAGCUGCCAGUUUUUCACAUGUUUUAACUCUGUCAGAGCACUUUGAAAAAGUGGUCUGUGGUAUCUGGCUCUCGAGAUUCGGAGAACGAUGCCUCUUCGAUUUUUUGAGAAAGCAAUCAUGCUGGGGGUCUGACUCUCGAGAUUCGGAGAGCAGUGUCUCUUCGAUUUUUGAGGAAGUAAUCAUGUUGGGAGUCUGGCUCUCGAGAUUCGGAAGGCGGUGCCUCUUCGAUUUUGGAGCAAGCAAUCUUGUUGGGAGUGUUGUCUCGAAUGUGAGUAAAGGUUGGACAUGUUUGCUAGUCUACCUUGCCACGAAGCACAAAGGUUGACACACAGGGACUUUCCAAUUAUCCAGCAAUGGUACUGUUCCUUUACCCUCUCUUCGAUUUUGAGAAAGUAGUCAUGUUGGGAGUCUGGCUCUCGAGAUUCGGAGGACGGUGCCUCUUCGAUUUUGGAGCAAGCAAUCUUGUUGGGACUGUUUUCUCGAAUGUGAGUAAAGGUUGGGCAUGUUUGCUAGUCUACCUUGCCACGAAGCACAGAGGUUGACACACAGGGACUUUCCAAUUAUCCAGCAGUGGUACUGUUCCUUUACCCUUGUGGGUAAUAAUAUGGUAGCUAGACCUUCAAAAUUUAUGUGUCUAAACUUUGUUAGUGCUGUUUCUUUGCUAUUCUUUUACCUUUCUUGGUCAGAGCGAUGUAGUGGGAGCUGCAAGCUUCACGUGCUCAACUUUGGCAGAGAACUUUGACAAAGUGAUCUGUGGUACCCAUGAGUUAUUGUUGCGUGUGGGAAGUGGGUGAUUGAACAGUAAGAUUCAUGUGCUUUCUACUUCACCAGAAGUCUUCGACAGAAUGCCCAUAAUUUCUGCAAAGCUGAGUGUGCGUGUGACAGGUGCUGACAAGGCUAGAAAAGUAGAUGCCUCUUCGAUUUCUGAGAUCGGCCCUCGUGGUCUCUGAGCAGCCCAGCUUUUGAGAAAGCGAGCGCCUCUUCGAUUGAUUCGGAGAAACGGUGCCUCACCGAUUUUUGAGAAAGCAAUCAUGCUGGGGGUCUGGCUCUCGAGAUUCGGGGAGCAGUGUCUCUUCGAUUUUUGAGAAAGUAAUCAUGUUGGGAGAGUGGCUCUCGAGAUUCGGAGAGCGGUGCCUCUUCGAUUUUGGAGCAAGCAAUCUUGUUGGGAGUGUUUUCUCGAAUGUGAGUAAAGGUUGGGCAUGUUUGCUAGUCUACCUUGCCACGAAGCACAGAGGUUGACACACAGGGACUUUCCAAUUAUCCAGCAAUGGUACUGUUCCUUUACCCUCUCUUCGAUUUUUAAGAAAGUAGUCAUGUUGGGAGUCUGGCUCUUUAGAUUCGGAGGACGGUGCCUCUUCGAUUUUGGAGCAAGCAAUCUUAUUGGGAGUGUUUUCUCGAAUGUGAGUAAAGGUUGGGCAUGUUUGCUAGUCUACCUUGCCACGAAGCACAGAGGUUGACAUACAUGGACUUUCCAAUUAUCCAGCAGUGGUACUGUUCCUUUACCCUUGUGGGUAAUAAUAUGGUAGCUAGACCUUCAAAAUUUAUGGGUCUAAACUUUGUUAGUGCUGUUUCUUUGCUAUUCUUUUACCCUUCUUGGUCAGAGCGAUGUAGUGGGAGCUGCAAGCUUCACGUGCUCAACUUUGGCAGAGAACUUUGGCAAAGUUAUCUGUGGUACCCAUGAGCUAUUGUUGCGUGUGGGAAGUGGGUGAUUGAACAGUAAGAUUCCUGUGUUUUCUACUUCCCCAGAAGUCUUUGACAGAAUGCCCAUAAUUUCCGCAAAGCUGAGUGUGCGUGUGUGUGACAGGUGCUGACAAGGCUGGGAAAGUAGGUGCCUCUUCGAUUUCUGAGAUCGGCCCUCGUGGUCUCUAGGAAGCCCAGCUUUUGAGAAAGCGAGCGCCUCUUCGAUUUCUGAGAUCGGCCUUCGUGGUCUUUGAGCAGCCCAACUUUUGAGAAAGCAAACGGCUCUUCGAUUUCUGAGAUCAACCCUCGUGAUCUCUAAGCAGCCCAACUUUUGAGAAAGCAAACGCCUCUCUUCGAUUUCUGAGCAGGCGCCUCUUUGAUUUCUGAAGCUCCGUCGAGUGCAGAUUUUUAUAGAGGCUGGCAUUAAGUUCCAAAGCACACUUGAAUCUCCACCAGUAGAAGCUUCAUUCUUGCACUUCUAAAAUCUUGAUUUGUCCGACCUCUUCUCUCUUCAACACCUUUGAAAAUGUCUGGCCCCUCCGACUGUCGUUUUGACUUGAACCUUGUUGAAGAGGCAGCCCCGCUUCUCCAGACAACAUAUGGCGCCCAUCCUUCGUCUCCCCAACUGGUCCUCUUACCGUUGGGGAUUCCGUGAUGAAGAAUGAUAUGACUGCUGCGGUGGUGGCCAGGAACCUUCUCACUCCCAAAGAUAACAGACUACUUUCCAAACGGUCUGAUGAGUUAGCUGUUAAGGAUUCGCUGGCUCUUAGUGUUCAGUGUGCAGGUUCUGUGUCUAAUAUGGCCCAACGCCUAUUUGCUUGAACCCGCCAAGUUGAAUCAUUGGCGGCUGAAGUGAUGAGUCUCAAACAGGAGAUUAGAGGGCUCAAGCAUGAGAAUAAACAGUUGCACCGGCUCGCACAUGACUAUGCUACAAACAUGAAGAGGAAGCUUGACCAGAUGAAGGAAACUGAUGGUCAGGUUUUACUUGAUCAUCAGAGAUUUGUGGGUUUGUUCCAAAGGCAUUUAUUGCCUUCGUCUUCUGGGGCUGUACCGCGUAAUGAAGCUCCAAAUGAUCAACCUCUGAUGCCUCCUCCUUCUAGGGUUCUGUCCAGUACUGAGGCUCCAAAUGAUCCCCCUCCGGUGCCUUCUCUUUCUGGGGCUCUACCGACUGCUGAGACUUCUCCUAAGCAACCUUUGUGAAGGCUCCCUCUUGUGUGUUUAUUUUGACUCAUGUAUAUGUACAUAUUUGUAGCUUAUCGGGGAUAUCAAUAAAUAAGCUUUCCUUCAUUUCAACGUAUUGUGUUAAAUACACCAAAGCCUUCUUCGCUAAGUUCUUUGAAUUUUCUUUUGUUGAAGCUUGUAUGUUGAAGCUUUCUGAGUGGAGCAUGUAGGUUGGGGUAGUGUUCCCUUAAAAUAAAAACAUUAACUGUGCCUCCAGCGCCUAUACUUCCCUUCUAGUAAGCUACAAGUUUACCAGCUGAAGCUGAUAUUACCCUUCGUGUUCUUCUCAAAUCAAAUCUUUUGUAAUGAUAUUUACAAUUCUCCUACUAAACUGCAAACUUUUGAUCAAUGCUAUGCGUCAAAUCUUUCGCUCAGACUAUCAAUCCCUACUGUUCCCAAUCUUAACCAAUUGACACAAAACUACCUUUUCCCACAGCAUUGUAACUUAGAAAUGCUCUAAUUCAUGCUACAUUACGAUUCUCGGCAUACCAAAACCUUUUUUUUCUUUCUAAUCAUUGCAUUCCCUUCAUCUAAAAUCAGUUAAAUAAGCUAUGAUAAAAUAGCAAACAUCACAAACAAAGGCAUUGUUUAAACAAAUAGUGAAUUCUGACUCACCAGAAACAGCUUCACUGCCCUCCAAGCUCUGAACUCCUCCGCCAUUGCUGUCACCAACCUCGCCUUUCUUAACCCAAAGUCUAAACCCAGAACCUCUCUGUCUCUGUAAAUGGAAGCGGCCUACCCUCUUAUCAUAAUCCCUUAUUUCACCGUUACCACGGCGAUCAGCUCCACUCCACCUCCUCAGCUUAUCAUCCCCAUUACCAGCCUCACCAUCCACCGAUAAACCCUCAAAUUUCGGUACAAUUUCCUCCGCCAGAACCACAUUCUCGCUCUUUGCCCUAAUUUCAGUUUCAAUUUCAAUUCCAACUCCGUUUUCUUCCUUUCCAGUCGCCUGAUCGUUUUCCUUCUCGCCACGCACCGGAGGCUCGUCCACUCCACCUUCCUUCUCAGUCACCUCCUCCUUCUCUUCCCUAGCUUUGUUCUUCCAAUUUCUGUUACCCUUCCUCUUCUUCCAUUUCUUCUCCUCCUCUGGUUCCUCGUUUUUCUUCCCCUCCAGCUCAGCAACCUCGAGCUCUGAAACGCCCUGAUUAACUGGGCGAAACUGCCCCUGAUCACUCCGAUUCCUCGUCUUGUUAGCAAUUUCGGUUCUUCCAACUAUGGUGUUUUGCUUCAGUUCUUCUUCGUCGCUUCUUUUAGCAUCCAGCGAGGGUGCCCGAUCACUCCGAUUUCUGGGAUUGUUACCGGUUCCGGUUCUUUGAACGACGGCGUUUUGCUUCGCCUCUUCCUCCUCGCUUCUCUUCCCCUCCAGCAAGGGUGCCCGACCAACCGGAUUCACCGUCCGAAACUGCGCCCGAUCACUCCGAUUUCUAGGAUUGUUACCCGUUCCGGUUCUCCGAACGACGCCGUUUUCCUCCGGCUCUCCUUCCUCGCUUCUUUUUCCCUCCAGCUCAACAUCCUCACAUUCCGAAACAUUCCUAUUAAUCGGCCGAAACUCUUCCCGAUUACCGCGAUUCCUCGGUCUGUCAGUGGUUUCAGCUCUCUUAACCACAGCGCUUUGCUUCGGCUUUUCUUCCUCGCUUCUUUUCCCCUCCAGCACAGUCCCAUCGCGCUCCGGAACACUCGGAUUAACUGGCCGAAACUGUGCCCGAUCACUCCGAUUUCUCGGAUGGUUACUGGUUCCGGCUCUUUGAAAGACGGCGUUCUGCUUCGCCUCUUCUUCCUCGCUUCUUUUCCCCUCCAGCAAGGGUGCCAGACCAACCCGAUUCACCGUCCGAAACUGUGCCCGAUCUCUCGGAUUGUUACCGGUUCCGGUUCGGAAGACACCGUUUUCCUCCGGCUCUCCUUCCUCUCUUUUUUUCCCUUCCAGCUCAGCAUCCUCGCAUUCCAGAACAUUCCGAUUAACCGGCCGAAAGUCUUCCCGAUUACCACGAUUCCUCGGCUUGUCAUCGGUUUCGGCUCUCUUAACGACCGCGUAAUGCUUCAGCUUUUCUUCCUCGUUUCUUUUCCCCUCCCGCUCAGAAACACUCCGAUUAACUGGCCAAAUCUGUGCCCGAUCACUCCGAUUUCUUGGAAUGUUACCGGUUCCGGUUCUUCCAACGACGGCGUUCUGCUUCGCCUCUGCUUCUUCACUUCUUUCCCUCUCCAACAAGGGUGCCAGACCAACCCGAUUGACCGUCCGAAACUGUGCCCGGUCACUCCGAUUUCUCGAAUUGUUACCCGUUCCGGUUCUCUGAAUGACGACGUUUUCCUUCGGUUCUCCCACCUCGCCCCUUUUUCCCUCCAGCUCAAUAACCUCGCAUUCCGAAACACUCCGAUAAACCGGCCGAAACUCUGCCCGAUUCUCGCGAUUCCUCGGCUUGUCAUCGGUUUCGGCUCUCUUAACGACAGCGUUUUGCUUCGGCUUUCCUUCCUCCCUUCUUUUCCCCUCCACCUCAGCCCCACCGAACUCCGAAACACUCCGAUUAACUGGCCGAAGCUGUCCCCGAUUACCACCAUACCUAGGCUUGGAACCGAUUUCCAGGUUCCGAACGAUGGCGUUUUGCCUCUUCUGCUUCGCCUCUUCUUCUCGCCGUUCCCUCUCCUCUCGUCGUCGUUUCUCGUCCUCUUCCUGUCGUUUCUUCUCCUCUUGCCGUCGUUCUUUCUCCUUCUGCUGUCGUUCCUGGUCUCUGAGCCAGCGCUCUUUGAGGUCGUUGAGGGUGACGUAGUUGGCGGGCACAGAUUGGUGCCUCUUGAAUUUGGUGUCCGCCAUUUUCGCUCCACAGUCCACUAAAGAAUGACUGAGCCAAACCCAACGACAAAGGCAAAGCCUUUUCCAUUAUUUAUUUUCGAUUUUCUUUUUCUUUAUUAAAGGAAAAACAAUGAGCAAUUUCUAAUAUUCUUUAUUUAAAAAGUUUUGAGUCAAUCCCUCCCUUACGUUUCCGUCAAAUUGUAGGUCAUUUUCGUCCAUUUCCGUCGGGAAACUUUCAUUAACGUGUGAUAGAUUCAGUCAUUACCGUCAAUGUGACUAGGCCUGGUAUUUUGGACCCAACCCAUUAACCCGACCCGACCCAACCCGUUAAUAUUUGUAUUUGGAUGGAUGCUUAACGGGUCGGGUCGCUAACGGGUGAACCCGUUAACAACCCGUUAAAUAACGGGUCACUUUGGGUCAACCCGUUAGACCCGUUAGGACUCGUUAACACCCGUUAGCACCCGUUAGUUGAGGAUAUUUUAGUAAUUUUAGUAAAGUCUUGAUAACAAAAAAUAAACUUUAUGCAAAAAAAAAAUAAUAAUAAUUGUUAACCGGUGAUAACGGGUGAAACGGGUGACCCGUUAGCUUAACGGGUCGGGUUCGGGUGACCCGUUAGCUUAACGGGUUGGGUUCGGGUGACCCGUUAACUUAACGGGUCGGGUUCAACCCGACCCAAACCCAAUAAACCCGACCCGUUUACAGGUCUAAAUGUGACUAUUACGGACAAUAAUUAGGUAAAAUGUCUAUCCACACCAGUUGUGAAUGAUAAAUUUUAACACAUAUCUAUCAUAAUAAAAACCCGUUUUUAUUUUUCAAUUUAUCAUUCAAACUUCAUUGCGACAAUCUAAUUAUUAUCAAAAUAUUCAAUUUGUUCAAUGUAUAUAAAUUACUAAACCAUUUUUAUUUUUUUAAUCUUUAAAAUACGACAUUGCAAACUACUUAAAUUAUUUAAUGUAAACAAUAAAGAUGCAUUAGUCACAACCGAAAUACAUAAAAAGUGGCACUCCUAAAUAGGGGUGGGCAAACUGAUAUAGGAACUAUGGGUUGGGGCGGGUACGGGCAGGUUCCAAUUUUUUAAUAAGAGAAAUGGGGAAGGGGGGGCGGGGCGGGGCAAGGCGAUGAAAUUUUAAGGGUGGCCCGGUUCCAGAUGUAUAGAAAAACAAGGCCCCCGACUGGCCUGUUUGUAAUUGCAAUGGACAGACAAGAUUGAAGAGUAACCUACCAUCCAAUCUUAACCAUUAGUUUUACCCUAGGUCUCCUCGAGCUCGACUAUGUCACUUGAGUCCUCGAACUCGAUUCUCUCUCGCCGUCUCGCGUGCGUCGUCCUUUCCCCUCCACAAUUCCACCCACACUUUGUCACUCUCCGUCUGUCAUCUCCUCCACCACCCUGACAUCAUUGCCGUCGCAAAUCUGGGCCUUAGCGACCACCACGACGACCCAUCAACCUCGAUUGUCCUCCUCGAGUCCUUGAUGACAUCCCAGACUUAGAGGUUCUCAUUGACCCAGUCCCCACUUUCACGAUCUCUCUCAUGAACCCAUACUGAAUCUCCUCAACCCUCCAUCUCGAAUCUCGACAGUCGACAGUCAAGUGCUUCUGCCGGUCCAAGUGUCGAGUUUCCAACUUCCUCUUUCAAUUUCUGGCCGAGACUGGUGCGACGUUCGUAACCGGGAGAUGGGGUAUCACUUCAUUUCAUCUCUACGAUGCUGCUUGAUGGGAGUUGUGGCGUCGAUUUGGGAAAUCAAUUUUGGUUGAUCGGGAAGAACGGUUGCGGCAAUGAGAGCAAUCUGGAAUGUUCUGAAGCUCUGUAUCAAAACCCAAAAAAAAAUAAAAAAGUAAUUGGAUCCACGGACUCACCCCGAACCUACCCGUUUGAAACGGGUCGGGUUAAGUCCAGUUCCCAAACUCAAAAUCCCUCUACCUGCCCCGGCCGGCCCUGUUACAUUUUAAAACGAAUAGGGUCUGAUUCCUUCAAAUUUAGGCCCGACCCGGCCCGUGCCCAGCCCUACUCCUAACUCCAAAGUAAUGCUUUACUUAUAUUUUGGUUUUUCAUUCUUUUUUAAAAACAAAAAAAAAACAAAGUUUUUUUUCAAACUUAAUAAAGAAGACUUAUUAGAUGAGGUGGUGUGGUGCUCAUUAGGUAUUGGAUUCCUCGUCAACAACUUAUUAGUGGUUUAAGGACGAAUUAACUAGAGUAAUUAUGUUUAUUGGAUAAAUAUUACUAGACUAAUCAUCAACAUUUGACGAGUUACUCACAUUUUCUACCAUUCAAUAUCUAAUCACCCAUCAACUCAUGAGGCAACUCAUGAGGUACUUAUGAUUUGGUUUCGCAGCUUUUUAAUCAUAAAAUUGUUUUCGCUUUCUAAAGAAGCACAUACAAAAUCUUAACCCAAAAAAAAAAAGCACAUACAAAAUGUUUCUUCAAGAAACAUUUCCACGUAAUUUUCAAAAAUUUGCAUCUCUAAUACAAUUUUCGACGAUUUUUAAUAUAUAACUUUUUGAAUAAGCACUUAUUACAAAACCAAUACUAAACCAACUAUAAAUGGAUUCUUCUCUCCUUGUGAGAGGCUCUCUCUUCUUGAGAGUUCUUCUCACCACCUGUGGAAGUGGUUUCCUUUUCGUCCAAUUUUGAAGUCGUCGGCCCUCGCUAUGGCAUAUCUUUCCCUUCUCUCUGUUUCCUUAUUUCGUUCCUUCAACUACUUUUUUCUCCAGCUCUCCUUCCUAAUUUGCCAUGUCCUUCAUACCUCAUGGGCGUCCAUCUUCCCCAAGCACCUCCAAUUCGAUCUGCAGUCAGUCUUCAAUGCAACAAAUCAUCGAGAUGGUGUGUAGAGUUUUGAUGUUCAAACUGGCUCGGGUGUUAAAAUACCACCACCUUCUCUCUAUCUGCCUUUGUUGGUAGUAUUGCUCAUGGUAAUUCUGCAGGCUUCUUUUAAUUGGUGGCUGGCUUCUUUCCAUUUUUUGCUAAGAUGGCACGACGAUUGUAGUUGGAUGAUGAGGUCUUUUUUAAAAACAAAAAUAAAAAUAAAAACAAAACAAAAACAAAAAAAAAAAAAAAAAACUUUUUUUUGAACUUAGUGGAGAAGAAUUAUUAGAUAAGGUGGUGUGGUGCUCAUUAUGCAUUGGUUUCCUCGUCAGCAGCCUAUUAGUGGUUUAAGGAUGGAUUAACUGGAGUAAUCAUGUUUAUUGGAUAAAUAUUACUUGACCAAUCAUCAACAUUUGACGAUUUACUUACAUUUUCUACCAUUCAAUUAUCUAAUCAUCCAUCAACUCAUGAGGUACUUAUGAUUUGGUUUCGCAGCUUUUUAAUUAUAAAAUUGUUUUCGCUUUCUAAAGAAGCACACACAAAAUGUUUUUUCAACAAGCAGUUCCACACAAUUUUCAAAAAACACUUGCAUCUUUAAAAUCUAAUACAAAAUUUAACGAUUUUUAAUAUAAAAAAAAACUUUUUGAAUAAGCAUUUAUGAAACCAAUACUGAACCAACUUUAAAUGGAUUCUUCUCUUCUUGUUAGAGGCCCUCUUUUCCUGAGAGUUACUCUCACCACCGUGGAUCCAGGAUUUUAACAUGGAGUGGUUCUAACUUUAACACUGUUCUAAAAAUCCUCGCCUAGAGCCGCCUAGGCCCCACCCCACCGCCCCGAUUAAUGCCUAGGCUCCAGUCCACCGCCUAGACCACCUAGGCACCUACCUAGCCCGCCUAGGCACCCGCCUAGACCCGCCUAGGUUGCAACUCACUUAAACAGAAAAUACAUAACUUUCAUUUUGCAUUUUUUUUUCAAUAAAUUGUAAGAGACUUGUUGCAUACUUGAAUGAACAAACAUUAUAUCAUUAUUUCACAUGUUUUCAUUAUGUUCCAAUACUUCAUGAUAUAUAUGCAUUCUAUUUUGUAGUUUAUGAUGAAAUUAUAUAUAUUUCAAGUAGAAGCAGACACUUAUUUACCUGAAAUAUGAUAGAUUUACUUAAAUCCGCCUAUCUGCCUAGGCAUCCGCCUAGGCCCCGCCUAGCCGCUAAGCGCUAGGCCCCAGCCCACCGCCCGACUAGCGGCUAGCAACUUUUAGAACCUUGAACUUUAAAGCUCAAAAAAAAAAAAGAUUUAGACCAAACUAACAUGAAAAAAAAACGACAAAGUCACUAUCUGUCUAUCAAAAUAAAAUAUAUAUUUCUGUUGUCUUGAAGUAUAACUACAUAAUGUGUAACUCUUGUCGUGAAUGCGAGACUAUCAAAACUCUUGCCGUUAAUACAAAGACAAACACUGUAUUGAUCACUUGAGUGACAAAUCCUCACAACAUGCACUAAUAGAUAAACUAGGCACCCCAAAAAAAACUUGCAUAACUAAACUCUAAUUAGGGUUUUGGGAUCGAAGAGAAGAAUGGAAGAUGUAUGCAAACUAGAGGCUAAACCCAAAUGCCAACAAAGAUUAUACGUCCAGUGGGCAGCAGUCAACAAUAAGCAUAGAGAAGGAAGGUAAGUUUAAAGUUUUUUACUGGUUGGUAGAGUUGAGGAAUCCCAGUGUGUAAAACUCACGUGGAGUCUAAACCAAAGAGAUGUGAUCGGAUGUCCAAUCACAAUAAAAAAUGCACGCUUUUCAUUUUUUUUUAGGAAACUCUAACGAAAAUCAUAUGAUAUUGUUCACUUUAACGAAAAAUCAUAUUUUUACACUAAAAAAUCAAUCAUGGUACUAUUUAAUUUACCCUUUAUUUUGUCCUUAUCAUUAAAUCACAUUACCCAGUGUGUAAAACUCACGUGGAGUCUAAACCAAAGAGAUGUGAUCGGAUGUCCAAUCACAAUAAAAAAUGCACGCUUUCUAUUUUUUUUAGGAAACUCUAACGAAAAGCAUAUGGUACUAUUCAUUUUAACGAAAAAUCACAUUUUUACACUAAAAAGUCAAUUAUGGUACUAUUCACUUUACCCUUUAUUUUGUCUUUAUCAUUAGUUUCUUUUUUUUUUUUAAUGGUUUGGCUCAAAACGGUCUCGUUUUGGCCAAGUAAUUAGAAAGAAAAAGAGUCAUCUUCUUUCUUCUUCUGUUUUGCAGAAGAUGCUUGGCAGCCAUGGUUGCUCUUCUCCUCCACCAUAGCCCGGAUUUGGGUGGUCCUGGAGAUUUUCAUAGCCACUUUUUUGAGCCUUUGGGUGGUCCUGGAACCACUUUGAUCCCUUAAUAGAUCCGCCUCUGCUCACCACCUAUGUAAGUGGUUUCCUUUUCGUCCAAUUUCGAAGCCGCUGGCCCUUGCUGUGGCUGGGGUCGACGACAUAUCUUUCCCUUUUUCUCUUUGUUUCCUUCUUUCGUUCCUUUAGCUACUUUUUUCCCCAUCUCUCCUUCCUGAUUCGCCAUGUCCAUCAUACCCCAUGGGCGUCCAUCUUCCUCAAGCACCUCCAAUUUGAUCUGCAGUCAGUCUCCAACGCAAUUUGUUGCGAUCAAUCGAGAUGGAGUGUAGAGUUUUGACGUCUAAAUCAGCUCGGGUGAUAAAACACCACCCCCUUCGCUCUAUCUGUCUUUGUUGACAGUGUUGCUUGUGGUAAUUCCACGAACUUCUUUUAAUUGGUGGCUGGCUCCUUUGAAUUUAUGGCUGAGAUCGACGCGACGUUUGUGGAUGGAUGAUGCGGUCUUCCUUCACUUCAUCUCCGCGAUGCUGCAUGGUUGUGUUUUUGGCGUCUAUUGGGGGAGUCGAAUCGGGUUGAUCGUGACACACUGUUGCCGUGGUGGUAGCAGACAUCUUGAAUUUUCUUUUGAUUUGUUUCUGGUUUUGGGCUCAUUUUGAUUUGCUCGGGAGGUCCAUUUUUUGCUUUUUGUAUUUGGGCCUUUACCGUGUAAGCUAGUGUUAUUGGUAAUAAAAUUUAGUUAUGCAUUAUGGCCGUUGAUUUGCACCAAAGGAGCCUAAAAAAAUAGAAGAUCUGACUAGAACCAAGCGGGCCCACAACCAAACCCCUUACCCAAUAGCCUUCUCCAACCUCGGCAUCCGUUCUUCGCGCGGCGCCUCCCACGCAACCACCACUCAGCGACUUGGCGAGCACCGCAGCGUAGCGCUAAUAGCAAAGCAAAACGAACCGGCUUUCUCCACAAAACGCAGAGCCCUAGCUGCACAGACCACGUUUUCCCAUCGUGCCACGUGUAAUCCGUUCCCACCUCGCUCUCUCU